GUCUGCAACUCGACUACAUGAAGCUGGAAUCGCUAGUAAUCGCAGAUCAGAAUGCUGCGGUGAAUACGUUCCCGGGUCUUGUACACACCGCCCGUCACACCAUGGGAGUUGGAAAUGCCCGAAGUCAGUGACCCAACCGAAAGGGGGGAGCUGCCGAAGGCAGGUCUGAUAACUGGGGUGAAGUCGUAACAAGGUAUC
rnacentral:rRNA from 1 species